GCGAACGUCUGGACUAGAAAUACUGCAGUAAAAUAAAUAAUUAAUUAAACAGAGGUGUUCGCAAGUAUACGGGUCAAAUUGUAGUAUAGAAGAAUGUUACAAUGAAACACUCUGGAAAGUGGCCCAUUAGGUCCCUAGGCCCAUAGUGGCCCAUUAGGUCAUAACAUAACUCAAAAUUGCGUAAAAACACUUAUUUUGCAUAAAUUAAAUACAAAGAAAUAAAAAAUAAAAAUGAAAUAAAUACACAUAAAACCGUUAUAAAACAAGCUUGUUAAGUGCCGAAAAGAAUUUAAUUUGCCAUAACAAAUUAUGGCAAACCAAACUCCCCAACACUUAAGUCAUUGUUUGUCCUCAAGCAACAAGAUAAAAAGAAACAAAAUAAAAC
rnacentral:lncRNA from 1 species